CCGGCCAGCAGGAGUCCGCCUACGGGUCCCUUGAGUCAUCCUCCCAGGGGCCCUCGCAGAAGAGCAGUUACAGCGGAAGCAAAAGUCUCAACAGCGGGUCCAGCCACAGCAGCGGGUUCGGGGAUAAUGCUGACUUCAGGUGUG